rnacentral:lncRNA from 1 species
AUUUUGACAGCCCAUAAGUAAGUCCUUGGCUCUUUGGCAAGUAAGUUUCUUGAAGUCUCUCAUAUCAGCAAAAACAGUUUUCACAUUUCAGAGGUUAGUGAACUACCUUGAUCGGUAAUUGUGCCUGAUUAUUUAGAAUAUUACCUCUGCUUUCUUAAAAUUUAUUUGCAAUGUUGUUGAUUACAGUUUGAAUCUGGAUCAUUUCUCCUCGACUAUUGUUUAGUUUCUGUCAUUUUCUAAUUGGAUUUGAAUAGAGAGAGGAUAUUGAUCCAAGUUUUUUUUAUUUUUUUAUUUUUUUACUUUUUCUUACAGUCCAUGGCCGAUACCAACAGUAUUGAGUUGAAGGUCUUGGUGGACAAGGGGAGUAACCAAGUUAUCUUCGUAGAGCCUGACUAUAAUUUUGUUGAUGUUCUCUUCAGUUUAUUGACAAUCCCCAUGGGAACAAUUAUCAGGCUUGCACGUAAACAUUCAGAUCCUGUGGCAAUAGGUUGCAUGAACAACUUAUAUGCAAGUGUUGAGAAUUUUGACGAUCAAGAAUUUUGGAUUCAUACAUUUAAAGACAUGUUGCUGCAUCCCCGCAAUGCAGCCGAUUCUCAGUGCAAUGCCCUCAAAUUGAAACUUGAUGAUGCUAAGCCAAGACGUUACUUUAUGAACCCCAAUUCA